ensembl:lncRNA
CAGGGAAUUAAUAUAGGGCAGAGGAAGGAGAUAGGGGGAAUUAAUGCAGGUCAGAGAAAGGAGAAAAAAGGAAAUAAAUAAAGGACAGAGGAAGGAAAAACAGGGAAUUAAUGAAGGGCAGAGAAAGGAGAAACAGGGAAUUAAUGAAGGGCAGAGGAAGGAGAAACAGGAAUUUAUGUAGGGGCAAAUGAGAAACAGGGAAUUAAUGAAGGGCAGAGGAAGAAGAAACAGGGAAUUAAUGCAGGGCAGAGGAAGGAGAAACAGGGAAUUAAUGCAGGUCAGAGGAAGGAGAAACAGGGAAUUUAUGUAGGGGCAAAGGAGAAACAGGGAAUUAAUGAAGGUCAGAGGAAGGAGAAACAGGGAAUUAAUGCAGGUCAGAGGAAGGAGAAACAGGGAAUUUAUGAGGGGCAAAGGAGAAACAGGGAAUUAAUGAAGGUCAGAGGAAGGAGAAACAGGGAAUUUAUGCAGGGCAGAGGAAGGAGAAACAGGUAAUUAAUGAAGGGCAGAGGAAGAAGAAACAGGGAAUUAAUGCAGGGCAGAGGAAGGAGAAACAGGGAAUUAAUGCAGGGCAGAGGAAGGAGAAACAGG